UUUGCCCCAUCCUGUGUCUAACUAGUAACCUAGGGAUCAUCAGAUGGAGCAUGCAGCUUUCCUGAUCUUUGGAUCAGCCCCCUCUACAAACUCUAGGCCACUGCCCAAAACUCCUGGCCAGCCCGGGGAGCACCAGUAGGAGGACUGCAUAACACACCUCCAGGCCGGACCCAGGCAAUGUCAGCCUACGGAUUAAAGAGAUUCUGGCUCAACAACAACAAAAACCUCCAAUGUAUUAAAUAAGAAAGUGACGACUCAAGAAUGCGAUGGCAAAACUUGGAGAUGGUCAUACGCAGCGCUGCAAAUGAGAAGAACAUUUGUCUGAUCAUUCAUGUUUGGCAGGAGCAUACUAAAAUUUCAGCUGUCCACAGGAGAGGAGAUGAAAUAUACAAGCGAAGGUGAAAACUUCUGAGUCUUGAAAAAAGAUGUUUAGUUUCAGACUCAGACAACUGAUAUUUUCAUUUCUUUCCCUCCCAAUUACAUUACAGUUUAUGUAUAUUUUUGUGGUGUUGGUUGGUUGGGUUUUUAGUAUAAUCAUAGCUUGCUUCUCUUCUUACUUAAUCCUCUGAUUCCCUUCCUCCAUGCACAAAACAUUCCAUAUUUUAUAACACGGUAAAUGUUUCUUGCAAAUACUGACAUUUUUCAAUUGCUCUCUAGUAAAGUGCCACAGAGGGUAGUAGUGGACAGUGCAAGUGAGGUUAUGCCAACAGAAAAAAAUUAAAGGCACCCCAAAAAAAGUCAAGUAUUUAUUUUAGUAAUUUGCACAGACUGUUGCUAAAGAAAAGUAUGUAUUUAUUUUUUUUAAAAUGAAUUGAAGUACAAUUUUAGGAAAUAUUUGUUCAUUACAUUUACAUACAUAGUUUAAAACUGGCUUUCUCAAAAGUGUUCCUUCACAAUGAGAAAAUGUUAAGUUCACAUGCACCUUACUGUUUUCUACAUUUUCCACCAUAUUACACCUCAUAUCAAUAUUUACAAUAAAAAGACUAUCCCGUAAAUUCUUAUAUUGACAUUUAAUAUGAACAGUUGCAAUGUGUAAGAAACCCUGAUUAGUAAUUUGAUUGCACUGAGACAAAUGUAGGCUCAUAAUACAAUAAGGCACAGUACUAUGAAUAGGGAACAUAGAUUGUUCUUUCAGCAGCCUAGACGUCAAUCAGUUAAUUUCUAAGGGUGUUAUUGGGUGUAAAGUUAAUGCACCAAGUUUAAAUGCAGCUAGAACAAUGUUCUCCUAUACAAGACUGUUUUGAGGAGCCAAAUGUUUUGUAUGUUAUGGUGGGAGUUAUAAUUAAAAAGCUAUAUUUAAUAGGAUAUCGGUGGAGUUUUAUAUCAGACUAGAUGGGCCUUUUAAGGGACGUAUGCUGUAUAUACACAUAUGUAUACAUAAAUUUAAUCUCUCUGACACCUUACUAAAAACAGCAGCAUGAUAAACUCAUUAAAAAGAGCUGGGACAUACAUUGCUAUCAUAACUCAGAGCCCAAUUUUCAAAACUGCAGCGUACUCAAAAUUCCUAUUACAGUUUGAGAGCUGUACGUGACCAGCAGCUCGGUCAGGGCAAGUGGGGGAAAUCAGACCCACAGAUUCGUCUAUUAAAAAAAGUCUUGGGUACAUAGCAUCUGUCUUUAAUCUCAUUACAUAGUGAAUUAAAGUACUGCAAAUCUUUCCAUAUUAUUUUGGUUCUUUGCUUCUACUACAGCAUAAAAGACUUUGUCAGUCAGGGAUUGGCAUCUAUCGUUUUCAACACAGAGCUUUGGGUGCAGAAUCAGCUUGUUGCUUGUAUGGCCGGGAUUAGUAAAACACUGCUGAGAUCAUCAUGUAUGUGCUUCAGAACCAAAAUAGCCAUUGCUAUUAAAAACAGGGUGGUAGUAGUUGUGGUUUGUAGUGGGUGUCUUUUUAAUCGACCUAGGGUUUAUGCAGAGGUAGUUUUUAUAACACUACUGUAAUGAAGUCUCAGUAGUGUCAGAAUACCAUUAAAAAGGUACCAGAAUUUUUUUUAUCAUAUCCAAAUCCAAUCACAGUUAAAGUGAACUACAUCAGAUUUAGAUUAACGGACCACAAGUCCACAAAAAACACUCAGAAUUCAAACACAUUUUAAAAAUUCCUUCCAAUGAGUUUAGAUUCUUAAACUGUCACUAGAUCAGAAGUUUUACUCAAACUAUGUAAGAAGAAAAAUAAAAAUUCAUACAGUAACUGCAGCAUGUGGAAGUUGACUAAAAUCUGACAACUGUAUUGUAUAAAAGUAUAAAAGUGAAAAUAACACUUUUUCAAUCAUUAGUAUUUGUAAAAGCAAACUUAUUAGGGAACAUAACAUAACCUUGAGUACUAAAUAUAGGUUUUGUUUAAAUGUUUGUGUUUUAUUUUAAUCUGUAAUGGAAGAAUUAUACCACAGUAUCCAGCUGAUUAUUAAAAUGGAACCACAUUUUUCCUUGCAUUUUAGUCAUAUUAUGUUUACCCACAGUGUAAAAGUAAACAGCUAUGUGUUACGUGCGAUGCUUAUGUCUUAUGAUUAAAUUAAAUUAAAACUAAAUUGCUACAAUCCACACUUCUUAAAAAGAGGAAUAAAAACAACACAACAAACAGCACAUUAUUUACAAUAUAGAGUCUACAUUAUGUGUCAAAGUGAAGUUUGGACUAAUCCAUUAAAAAUUCUCAGACAUUUGAUAUUAUGAUUUUACUGCAAACGUCAAUAAAUUACAUCAUUUUUGUGCUAGAGGCUCAGGUGAACAUGAUUUAAAUUACAGUAAAACCUUGCUAAUGCCUGGGAGACCCACUCAGGUCUUGCUGAUUUGCAAAAGAGAGGACACUGCACCACUACCAACAAAAACCUACUGUUUUCAUUUACUGUGACAAGCUUUCUUAAGUUAAGCACAGUUUUUAAACAUACUAGUAAAUAUAUUGGUAUUACACUUAUAAGGCAGUGAGCUUAGACUUUAUUAAAGCACUCUGCUUUGCAAGAAGUAGAGAAGUGAGACUUAGCAAGGUUCUACUGUACCUCAGACAAGGCAGUCAUUGCAGACACCACUGUCUCUUAGAAGUGAUGAUGUUGGACAGUUUAAUGUGUCUGAGUUCUACAUCUCAAUCCUUUUAAGCAUGGCAUGUGUGCAAUUUAUUGGGUGUUCAGCAUACAGUGCUUACAGCACUGACUCUCUUGAUCUCCUUUAUUUAUAUGAAAUUGAACAGCAGAUUUAUUACCCCAUUUAGAAUGCAUCUCUUAAUUAUGGACUACUGAGCCAAAUUUUGUCCUAAAUUAUAUAAUCCAGGAAACCCUAUUGAUACCAGUGGGGUUGAAUAAGUGUAAGUGAGGAUAACAUUUGCCUUUUGACUUCCUUUUUGGAAUACAGAUGAUGUAUACUUCAAUAGAGUUGAAACCCUCUAGAUGAUGUUUUUCCUUAUCUAUCCUGAUCCAGAUAAGCAUGUUCCCAAUUUUAAACAUGUGAGUAGUCCUGGUUAAAUGGACUAUUCAUGUUCUGAUUAGGUACACUUUGCUUAACUGGGGUCAAGGUGAACAAAUGUUUCAGGUAAAAGUAGUGGUGUGUUUUCUAUUAUUGUUAUAUUUUCUGCUUUACAACACAUCUCAAAUGACAACACUCUAUACAAGAAGUAUUACAUUAGAGGCCAUCUAAACUGGUAAAUAUGGUAUUCUUAUUUACCAGGAGACGUGACACUAAAAUAAUUCUGUUUUAUGCAGCAUUUUAAAAGAUCAGCCUCUGGCAUCCACAACAGUGUUCAUUGCUCUCUAGAGCACAAACAUUUUUUUUCUCUUGUGUUUGUACAGAAACUCGUACAAUGGGGCUCUAAUCCUUAAAGGGAAUUUAUAGGAUCUAUAAUAAUAUAAAUAGUCAUGAUGGCAUUUCCCUUCAUAUAUGUAACAUGGUUCUCUUUUUAAUUUGUUUGGGAUAUUCUUCUAUGGCUCCUAUGGUGUUUUCUCCAAAGAUUCCAUUCACAUAAUGCAAAUAAUUAAGAUUAUACUAAAGGUAGACAAAAAAAUACUCUUGCUUCUGAAGAUGCUCUAUAUGUAUUCAAGUCAGCUAAAACAUAAGCAUCUUAGAGCACUUGUAAAAGUGUGCUUCCUUGACUUUCCAUUAAAAUAAAAACAAUUCUUUAACCAGCCAAUUGAGGAAGAUUGUUCAUGAAUUGCCAUAAAGUAUAAUAUAACCAUGUAAGGCUCAGGUGUAGUGGUAUCUGAGACAUUUACUAAUGUAUGGAUAAAUGCUAAGCUGUAUUACUUUCAGUUAAUGCAAUUAUUAAGGUUAUUGAUUUAAGUGAUGUGUAGAAAAAUGACAACAAAAUUUAAAAGGUAUAUACUGUAGAACCCUUAAUAUAGCCAACUUCCUGGAGGAAUUUCAAAAUCAGAAUAAAUAUAUAUUCAACAUGUGCUGUUUUCUUGAAUUUUACAAUAGUAUUUACCAGUUUGAGAGCAUUUCUCACCCCCAUUGAGCCUGAUCCAAAAUUCAUUUUGCCUAAUCUUGGUUCUGAUCCUGUGAUAUGCUGGCAAAUUUGCAGGACUGAGCCUUUUAUCAUCAAACAUUUCACAGAGGGAUACAACUAAAUGCAAUAAAGCAAAAAUUGCAUUCUCACUGUCUCAGAAAGAUGUAGUUGUUUAGUCAAUAUACUUUGCAAAUUGCACCAAUAAUUCCUUUGAUUAUGUAACCAAGAGUUUCCCUGUCUUAACGUAAAACCUUCCACAAAGAAACUUGGUAAAUUUAAAACUUUGUGUUUGUAAAGGCUCUAAAACUGUUUUUAAAGUUGUGUUCAGACACUUGGCAAGGGAUCAGAUGUUUUUGUAACAGAAUCCUCUUGGGCCAUGUGGCUCUGAGGAGUAACAAUCUUGACAAGUUGUGCUGUUGUCUCUAUUGGUCAUAACAUUUCACAUUCUUGCCAGGGAGGGGGAGAGCGCAUGAGUGCAUAUAUCUGAAGCAUGCAAAACAGCAUAUGAGGCAUCUCAUUCUUUCAACCACCUGCUAGGACAAUGCUAGAAACAAAAAAACAAAAAACAAAAA